rnacentral:rRNA from 1 species
UAAUACGGAGGGUGCGAGCGUUGUCCGGAAUCACUGGGCGUAAAGGGCGCGUAGGCGGCCUGAUAAGUAGGGGGUGAAAUCCUGCGGCUUAACCGCAGGGCUGCCUUCUAAACUGUCAGGCUGGAGCACAGUAGAGGCAGGUGGAAUUCCCGGUGUAGCGGUGGAAUGCGUAGAGAUCGGGAAGAACAUCAGUGGCGAAGGCGGCCUGCUGGGCUGUUGCUGACGCUGAGGCGCGACAGCGUGGGGAGCAAACAGGAUUAGAUACCCUGGUAGUCCACGCCGUAAACGAUGGGCACUAGGCGUCGGGGGGAGCGACCCUCCCGGUGCCGUCGCUAACGCAGUAAGUGCCCCGCCUGGGGAGUACGGCCGCAAGGCU